rnacentral:rRNA from 1 species
UGGAGGCAGCAGUGAGGAAUAUUGGACAAUGGGCGCAAGCCUGAUCCAGCCAUGCCGCGUGCAGGAAGACGCAUCUAUGGUGUGUAAACUGCUUUUGUACGGGAAGAAACACUCCUUCGUGAAGGAGCUUGACGGUACCGUAAGAAUAAGGAUCGGCUAACUCCGUGCCAGCAGCCGCGGUAAUACGGAGGAUCCAAGCGUUAUCCGGAAUCAUUGGGUUUAAAGGGUCCGUAGGCGGUUUAAUAAGUCAGUGGUGAAAUCUGGUCGCUCAACGAUCAAACGGCCAUUGAUACUGUUAGACUUGAAUUACUAGGAAGUAACUAGAAUAUGUAGUGUAGCGGUGAAAUGCUUAGAUAUUACAUGGAAUACCAAUUGCGAAGGCAGGUUACUACUAGUGGAUUGACGCUGAUGGACGAAAGCGUGGGGAGCGAACAGGAUUAGAUACCCUGGU